rnacentral:rRNA from 1 species
GGCGUAAAGCGCACGUAGGCGGCUGUUAAGCCAGAUGUGAAAGCCCCGGGCUCAACCUGGGAAUGGCAUUUGGAACUGGGCAGCUAGAGUACAGUAGAGGGGUGUGGAAUAUCAGGUGUAGCGGUGAAAUGCGUAGAUAUCUGAAGGAACAUCAGUGGCGAAGGCGACACCCUGGACUGAUACUGACGCUCAGGUGCGAAAGCGUGGGGAGCAAACAGGAUUAGAUACCCUGGUAGUCCACGCUGUAAACGAUGUCUACUAGCCGUUGGGGUCCUUGAGGCUUUAGUGGCGCAGCUAACGCACUAAGUAGACCGCCUGGGGAGUACGGCCGCAAGGUUAAAACUCAAAUGAAUUGACGGGGGCCCGCACAAGCGGUGGAGCAUGUGGUUUAAUUCGACGCAACGCGAAGAACCUUACCAGGCCUUGACAUCCUUGGAACUUAGCAGAGAUGCUUUGGUGCCCUCGGGAGCCAAGUGACAGGUGCUGCAUGGCCGUCGUCAGCUCGUGUCGUGAGAUGUUGGGUUAAGUCCCGUAACGAGCGCAACCCUUGUCCUUAGUUGCCAGCGCGUAAUGGCGGGAACUCUAAGGAGACUGCCGGUGACAAACCGGAGGAAGGUGGGGAUGACGUCAGGUCAUCAUGGCCCUUACGGCCUGGGCUACACACGUGCUACAAUGGCCGGUACAGAGGGUUGCCAAGCCGCAAGGUGGAGCUAAUCCCGAAAAACCGGUCGUAGUCCGGAUUGGAGUCUGCAACUCGACUCCAUGAAGUCGGAAUCGCUAGUAAUCGUGAAUCAGAAUGUCACGGUGAAUACGUUCCCGGGCCUUGUACACACCGCCCGUCACACCAUGGGAGUGGGUUGCACCAGAAGUGGCUAGUCUAACCUUA